AAGGGCCUAGCGCACUUGUUUUAGCAGCAUGAGAAUAAUACAGAGAUUAGUAUGGCCUCUGUAUAAGGAUGACAUACAAAUCUGUGAAUUGUUCCAUAUUUAG
ensembl:snRNA Gm22708 U6 spliceosomal RNA